rnacentral:lncRNA from 1 species
AAAUAUGGGGCAUCCCCCACUGGAGUUCAGCGACUGCUACCUGGACAGCCCCGAUUUCCGCGAGAGGCUCAAGUGUUACGAGCAGGAGCUUGAGAGGACCAAUAAAUUCAUCAAAGACGUCAUCAAAGACGGCAACGCGCUUAUCAGUGCUAUGAGAAGUUACUCCUCUGCUGUUCAGAAAUUUUCCCAGACGUUGCAGUCAUUUCAGUUUAAUUUCAUUGGAGACACUCUCACUGAUGAUGAGAUUAACAUUGCUGAAUCCUUCAAAGAGUUUGCUGAGUUGCUCAAUGAAGUAGAAAACGAGAGAAUGAUGAUGGUCCAAAAUGCUAGUGAUUUGCUGAUCAAACCCUUGGAAAAUUUUCGGAAGGAGCAAAUAGGUUUCACAAAGGUACAUUUUCAUAUACAUAUAUAUAAAUAAAUUUUUAAUAGCAGUGUAUAGUGGUUUUGGGUAGUGUUCUUCACCCUAUAGGUUUAUGAUGGUUAAUUUUAUGUUUCAACUUAUGAGGCCACAAAAUGCCCAGAUAGCUGCUUAAAUAUUACUUCAGGUUGUGUAUGUGAGGGUGUUUUCAGAAGA